rnacentral:rRNA from 1 species
UACGUAGGAUGCAAGCGUUGUUCGGAAUUACUGGGCGUAAAGAGUACGUAGGCGGUAUGUUAAGUCUGAUAUUAAAGACUGGAGCUUAACUCCAGGACUGUAUCGGAAACUGACAAACUAGAGGACAAUAGAGGAAGUCGGAAUUCUCAGUGUAGCGGUGAAAUGCGUAGAUAUUGGGAAGAACACCAGUGGCGAAAGCGGACUUCUGGGUUGUUACUGACGCUGAGGUACGAAAGCGUGGGGAGCAAACGGG